GCCCCCGUAGCUCAGCUGGAUAGAGCAUCGGACUUCUAAUCCGAGGGUCGCUGGUUCGAAUCCAGCCGGGGGCA
rnacentral:tRNA from 1 species